UACCUUUGCACUCGAAUUGGGAUAGACCCUUUCAUACAUCAAAAUCAUUUAAAUAAUAUUGGAAUG
rnacentral:ncRNA from 1 species